rnacentral:rRNA from 1 species
AGGUGAACCUGCGGAAGGAUNAUU